AGUUAGUUCCGGAAUCUAUGACUCUUGUCCCCGUCCUGGAGGUGGGGUCCGCCCUCUGUGACUUCACUCGGCUCCCUCUCCUGUUCUCACCAACUCUGACCCUGGAAGGAAGGACAGAAGGGAGGGAGGGAGGAAGGGAGGGAUGACUGUCCCAUCCACAGGCAAUCAUGAUGCCCACAGGCAUAGAAUUCAGUGGACCCACAGAAGGAGGAAGAUAGGGAGAAAGUGGAGGAAGAAGUUGGUUGGGGAGGGCAGGAGGGACCCGAGAGGCCCGUUUUCUGACCUUGGGUCCACUGGUUGGCUCACACCUGGGCUUUGGAAGAUUUGAGGAGGGUACCUGGGGUGACUUUAAGCAGAUAACCUGUGGGGUCUCUGUUUCUUCAUCUAUAAAUUGGGGUCACAACUGCUCCCACCUCGCCCCCAGGGCCAGGACACUUGGGAUGAGCACUCAUGAUCUUUAAUGAGCCAGGGACUGAGACUCUCACUCGGGGAGCAGAAGCAAAGCCCCCUGGGGAGGGAGGGCUCACGAGGGUGGUAUCUGGACGUUCCCACCCUGGGCUAGUGUUCCGUUGUAUGACCAUCCUGACAGGUGUGAUGGUUUCAUCUUUGAACUUGUGUUUUGUAAGUAAGACCAGGGACAGUGACACAUGUGUGUUAGCAGUAUGUGUGUGAUCCCAUUCCCUGUUGCCCCAUCUGCAUGGAGCGUUCAUGAUGCCCACGUACACAGGAUUCUGUGGAUUCACAAGGAUGAUUUUGAAUAGCAAAUAAAAAACACCCCGGCAAGUCAAGAGAGAGACCGCAGAGAAAAGGAAAAAGCUUUAUCGCUAAGGAGGUUGAAUGGCACUUUUUUCCUACCUUUGGAACAAGGGACCUGACGUUUUUAUUUGCACUGACCCCCACAAAUGAUGCAGCUGUCCUGCUUUCAUCAAUGAGCCAGGCCGUGGUUCUCUAGUCUGUUUGUGCCCAGGAUUCUGACAUGUUUGCUGCUGGGAACUGGACACGGGGCAUAUACAGUGCAGGAUGUAACAUGGAACCAGCGCUUGCUAAAUGCCCCAGUGCCCUGCGUCGGGCUUUGCAUCCAUUACUUCACUUAAUCUUCCCAAGGGCCCUCAGAGGUGGGUCCUGCUAUUAUCCCCAACUUACAAAGGAAGAAACUGAGGCUUAAGAGGUGAAAUGACUUGUGACCAGCGGACAUCAAGCUCCAGCUCCUUCUGUCUCUAAACCGCAUGCCUUCCGCAGCCCCCAUCAGGCCAUCUUGCAGCUGUGCGAAGUCAUCUCCAGUGGGUCCUUUGAUUUGCAAGAUCUGCUUCCUUUCAACCUUUGAAUCUAGAAGUCCCUGCCAUCCUCUUAUUAACUGUAUCCUUCCUUUCUCAAAGAAGUUUCCACAUAAAAGUUCAGAGGGAGACAGCAUGGGGAGGCGAAACUGAAAAAAGGCAGCAGAUUCUUUAUGUUUUAUUAAUUGUCAGAUGUUUCUUGUUUCUUUGGUUCAACCUGGUUUGAAUCCUGUUAGCCUCGGCUACGCAGACCAGAGCAUAAAGAGCCACCACCCAGGUUUGCGGCGUCAGUUUAAGUGUUAAUCAUGUUUUCAUAUCUGCCUAUAAACUCCUGUUUGGGAGAACCUGGGUGUUUUCUUAAAAUAAAUGGCAAUAUAAAAUU